rnacentral:rRNA from 1 species
UACGUAGGGUGCAAGCGUUGUCCGGAAUUACUGGGCGUAAAGAGCUCGUAGGUGGUUUGUCGCGUUGUUCGUGAAAACUCACAGCUCAACUGUGGGCGUGCGGGCGAUACGGGCAGACUGGAGUACUGCAGGGGAGACUGGAAUUCCUGGUGUAGCGGUGGAAUGCGCAGAUAUCAGGAGGAACACCGAUGGCGAAGGCAGGUCUCUGGGCCGAUACUGACGCUGAGGAGCGAAAGCGUGGGGAGCGAACAGG